GCCAGACUCCUACGGGAGGCAGCAGUGGGGAAUAUUGCACAAUGGGGGGAACCCUGAUGCAGCGAUGCCGCGUGGAGGAAGAAGGUUUUCGGAUUGUAAACUCCUUUUAUCAGGGACGAUAAUGACGGUACCUGAAGAAAAAGCUCCGGCUAACUACGUGCCAGCAGCCGCGGUAAUACGGAGGAUGCGAGCGUUAUCCGGAUUUAUUGGGUUUAAAGGGUGCGCAGGCGGCACGGCAAGCCGGCGGUCAAAUCGCGGGGCUCAACCCCGCCCAGCCGUCGGAACUGCCGGGCUAGAGUGGGCGAGAAGUGCGCGGAAUGCGUGGUGUAGCGGUGAAAUGCAUAGAUAUCACGCAGAACUCCGAUUGCGAAGGCAGCGCACCGGCGCCCUACUGACGCUCAGGCACGAAAGCGUGGGUAUCGAACAGGAUUAGAUACCCCCGUA
rnacentral:rRNA from 1 species